rnacentral:rRNA from 1 species
UACGUAGGUGGCAAGCGUUGUCCGGAUUUACUGGGCGUAAAGAGCGCGCAGGCGGUCGUUCAAGUCGAGUGUGAAAGCCCCCGGCUCAACUGGGGAGGGUCAUUCGAUACUGAUCGACUCGAAGGCAGGAGAGGGUAGUGGAAUUCCCGGUGUAGUGGUGAAAUGCGUAGAUAUCGGGAGGAACACCAGUGGCGAAGGCGACUACCUGGCCUGUUCUUGACGCUGAGGCGCGAAAGCGUGGGGAGCAAACAGG